GUCCUUGGGUGGCAUAGUUAACACACUCGGCUGCUAACCGAAAGGUUGGCGGUUCAAGUCCGCUCAGAGGUG
rnacentral:tRNA from 1 species